rnacentral:pre_miRNA from 1 species
GAGACACCACUCCGGGGCAAGACUUGCUUCAAUGGGGCUUUGGUGCUCACUGGGUCUGCCCCCUGAGUGUGUCCUU